AUUUUAAAGCGCCUGAACUAAUUACUGGAGCGAAGGAGUAGUUAGUUGACGAGGAGGAGGGUUAUCGAAUGUUCGGCGGAUACCUCCCGGUUGAAGAUGCCAACCGAGAUUUCUUCUUUAAAACAUUGAGGCAACUUGAUGGACAAAGAGAAGA
rnacentral:ncRNA from 1 species